GGCACUUGAAUGUCUAUAAAUAAAAUAUGAAUAUGUAUAAAUGUACAAUGAUUAUAUUAUUAUUGUCCGUCGCCGGAAAAAUGAAAACGUUUACCAACUGCCUUCAAACUAAAAAGAUAUAAACCUACGACUUCAUGAAGUUCGCAGGCCCACAGCAAUUCCAUAAAAUAUGCAUGUAGACACUUUUUCUUGCAGGAAAAAUGAUUCGAUUAUCAACGUUGAUGGCGGUUUCUUGGAAUUCCAAUUUAGGUGGUACUUUUGAGUGGUGAAAAUUAAAUAUUCUCAUUACUUUUUAAAAUAAUGGGGAAAAACUAAAAUAAAACUACGAGCAUUUGUUGUGAA